rnacentral:rRNA from 1 species
GGGUAACGCGUGAGAAUCUAGCUUCAGGUCUGGGACAACCACUGGAAACGGUGGCUAAUACCGGAUGUGCCGGAAGGUGAAAGGCUUGCUGCCUGAAGAUGAGCUCGCGUCCGAUUAGCUAGUAGGUGGGGUAAGAGCCUACCUAGGCGACGAUCGGUAGCUGGUCUGAGAGGAUGACCAGCCACACUGGGACUGAGACACGGCCCAGACUCCUACGGGAGGCAGCAGUGGGGAAUUUUCCGCAAUGGGCGAAAGCCUGACGGAGCAAUACCGCGUGAGGGAGGAAGGCUCUUGGGUUGUAAACCUCUUUUCUCAGGGAAGAACACAAUGACGGUACCUGAGGAAUCAGCAUCGGCUAACUCCGUGCCAGCAGCCGCGGUAAUACGGAGGAUGCAAGCGUUAUCCGGAAUGAUUGGGCGUAAAGCGUCCGCAGGUGGCUGUGUAAGUCUGCUGUCAAAGAGCAAAGCUCAACUUUGUAAAGGCAGUGGAAACUACACGGCUAGAGUGCGUUCGGGGCAGAGGGAAUUCCUGGUGUAGCGGUGAAAUGCGUAGAGAUCAGGAAGAACACCGGUGGCGAAGGCGCUCUGCUAGGCCGCAACUGACACU